rnacentral:rRNA from 1 species
GACAGAGGGUGCAAACGUUGUUCGGAAUUACUGGGCGUAAAGCGCGUGUAGGCUGCUUCGAAAGUCGGGUGUGAAAGCCCAGGGCUCAACCCUGGAAGUGCACUCGAAACUUCGGAGCUUGAGUCUCGGAGAGGAUGGCGGAAUUCUCGGUGUAGAGGUGAAAUUCGUAGAUAUCGAGAGGAACACCGGUGGCGAAGGCGGCUAUCUGGACGAUGACUGACGCUGAGACGCGAAAGCGUGGGGAGCAAACGGG